GGAAGGGUCUGGCAGCUCCCACGAUGGGCCCAGGAGCUCUGAGGAGUCUCUGGGCUGAUCUGGAGAUGUCCCAGUAGAGUCUGCGAGGGUCCAGGGAGCCCUCGUGUGGGUCUGGGUGGUCAUCCAGAAGGGUCUGGGGAUGGCCCAGAGAGGACUUGGAGGGUCUGGGGGGUCCUUUGGUGGGUUCAGAGGGUCCUGUUGUCUUCUGGAAGGGUCUGAAGAUGUCCCAGAAGUGUCCUGGGUGUCCAAAGGGUGCUCGUGUGGGUCUGGGGGGUCCUGGAGCCAUCCAGAAGGGUCUGGGGAUGUCCCAGGACUGCCUUGGAGGGUACAGGGGGUCCUCCUGUUGAUCCAUGGGGUCCAUGGAUUCAUCCAGAAGGGUCUGGAGAUGUCCAAGAAGGUCCCUGUCCAAGGGGGUCCCCAGGUGUGUCCAGGGCAUCCUUGCAGUCAUCCAGAGGGGUCUGGGGAUGUCCCAGGACUGUCUUGGAGUGUCCAGGGAGUGUUCAUGUGGGUCUGGGGGGUCCUGGAGCCAUCCAGAAGGGUCUGGAGAUGUCCCAGAGAGGACUUGGAGGGUCCGGGGGGUCCUUAGGUGGGUUCUGCUGUCU
ensembl:lncRNA